UCCUUUGUUCUAACAAGCCCGGAUGCGAUUCAUUACGCUAAGAACUUGAUUUUUCAUCAUACUCGCAAGAUCUACGCGAUUUCUACGUUGUGUUCUUCGCUGGUGGCUUGUGGAUCCAAUUGAUUUCGGUCCAGCCCUUUGAACCUUGGGUUAAUACAUCAAUUAUAAUCUUGUUCAUCAUUCUUAGACCCGUCGACUGCUCGUGCUUCGGAGUCUACGCAGGGUUAGCUGUUUGCCAAGAUUUCACGUGGAUAAGCAAGCAGUUUAUGAUUUGAAAGCUGGUCCACUCCGAUUCUUGAUUCUUGGAGGUUUUUAUGUCAAUAAAACUAGUCUGUUGUUUUAAACUCUUAGACCGCAGUAGAACU